CCAUAAGGCCUAAAGGCCUGUUUUAAUCCUUGGUGAGUGAAGCCCCCGUGUGUGGAAACACACGGACUGAGAAUUGAAAAGAGAGGCUCCUAAGCGAAGCCUCAAGCGACGGGAAGGGCAACUCCCCAUGAGUGAAGAAGGUGCAGCAAUGAGUCUGGGGUGGCUGGGAGUGGUCGGCGACACCACUAAACUCUACAGAAUGGUGGUGCGACACAAGAGAAAGAAACAAAUGAAAGAGUUAGAGAGAAACCACCUAGCCGAGAAUCACAAGAGGAAUAGAAGGGAGGAAAAUUCCGUCGUGGGCUUACCGGAAAGAGUGGUUUUGUCGGAGUUGGGAUGUCCAACGAUUUCUAUGGCUGUCGGUGGCUCUCUGAUGUCUUGUGGUGGUCGGUGGUGAUUGAAGAAACUAAGCCUAUGCGAAAUCUAAAAGUUAGGAGCCUAGGGCUCCGUACGAGAAGCUCAAGAUGCCCUCUCUCUCUCUCUCUCUCUCUCUCGGCGUGCCGCUGAACAUGAAAAUUACAAGAAGAGUCAUAUUUCAGGUUUGUGCGUGAAUCUAAUGGCGCCCCAUAACAUCUCUCUGUGGAUGGUGUUAGAUUCACGCACAAACUCGUAAUGUGCCUUUUCAUUUCUCUGAGGUUGAAAAGUUAACUUCUCUGUCUAAUUUUCUCAAUUUCCAAGCUUUCUCCCUCAGAUUCUUUGGCUUCCCCCUCCGAGAGAUGGACGGAAAAAUUAUUAUGGCCCCCCAUUCGGAGAUCAACGCUAAACAUUCUUUGAUUUUGCAAACUGUUCCGGCGUUGGAACUUUUAGAAGGUGGAUUUUAGCACCCCAACGUUCGUUACUCUUGAAGAUCGUUGAACAGUUGGCUGCUGAGACGUGACAUUUCACUACUAAUUGAACUUUACUGGUAAGUACAAGACUUUUGAGAGUCCGAUGUAAGGUUGCCUUAUUAAAUUACUAUAGAAAUUGUAGCUCUAUUAGCUACUGAAAAGAUCCUCAUGAAAUCCCGACAAGAGUCUAUGGACUCUAGCACGCUUAUUACCUGAAAAAUACUAUCUUUCUGUGGUGGGUUCUGUGAUACA